ensembl:lncRNA
AUAUGAACUUGUUGUUUUCUUUGUAUUAUUUGAGGUCUGAAAGCUCUGCAUCUGUUUUGUUAUUUCAGUAAUUUCUCAUUUUCUGCAAAUAAAUGCUCUAAAUGACAAUAUUUUUAUUUGGAAUUUACAAGAAAUGUUCAAAUGUACAACCUGCUUCUGUGAUUUCUACAGGUACUACCAGAGCCCUGUCUACUAUGUAGAGCUUCUAUAUGGAGGAAGAUAUCGUCAUGCCAUCCAGUUGUUGCGUCAUUAACUGCUCCUCCCAGAAGCCCUGCAGAAACCCUGACCAGACUCUCUCCUUCCACAGAAAGUAAAAGAUGAAGCUACAAAAGAGAUGAUUCCACACAAAAGGAGAAACAGUGCACAUCUGCUGAGAAGAAGAAGAAAGAAGAAUUGGGAAGGAAGCAAUAAAGAGAGAAUACAAAGCACAGCCUCAGGUCUGGGAGAGUUGGCUCUGGCGGCUGAGCUGAUGGAGGAGAGCCAGCAGGAGAUUCAGAAAGGAUUCCAGAACGACCACGGUGGCCUUCCCCUCCCGUCCGACCCGGCGAGACUGAGCGUUCUGGUGCGAAACCUGGCGAAAGAGAGACACUGGCAGGGGGAGACGCUGCUCUCGCUCCGCAAAGAGCUCAAAACCAAGGACGCUCAGCUGCAGGAGAAGAAGCUGCAGUUGGAGAGGAUGGUGGAGAGUCAGAGAGAUGCUGAUAAGUAUAAAAUCUGCUCUCUGGAGAACAUGUUAUGUAAGCAGCGCCUGGAGACGCUGAAAGUACAGGAGGAACUGUCCCAAACCAGGAAGCAGCUGAAGGAACGUACAGAGGCCCUGCACUGCCUGGCUGCUGUCAGACAGGUCACUCCAUCCUCUCGUGCGAGCAUGUUCACUGUGAAGGCUCUGUGCCGUGGUUCGGUGAAGUGGCUCCAUUUCUACACUGGUUUUAAAUCGUACGCUCGUUUCCGGGCUCUGCUGGCCUUCCUGCAGGGCUCCGAUGGAUCCGUCCUGCACUGGAAUGAUCGGGAGGAGGAGGAGGAAAAGAGCUUGGAGGAUGAAGGGAUGAGUGAGAAGAUGGAGAAGAAUCCAAGUUCAGACCAAACUUCAACGGAAGAGUCGAGGCUUCAGGUAUCAGAGGAUGAUGCUACAGCAGCAGCAGGACCUGAUUCUGGAGGCUGGAGGUGGGAGGAGACAGCGGAGACGGUGAGGCUGAGGCUGAUUGGUUCUCAGCGGGGUGAGGAGAGCAGACGCUACGCCCUCAGCCCGGAGGACCAGCUGCUGCUGGUGCUGACCCGCCUCCGCCUGGGCCUCCUCACCUCAGACCUGUCCUUCCGCUUCCAAAUAGCAGAGGCCACCGUCUCCCGCAUGUGGGUGCAGUGGGUGGAGCUCCUGCGGAAGAAGCUGCAGCAGAUCCCGGUGCGCUGCAGUCCUCAUUACGUCUCCGUAUUUCAGCCUAAACACACUCUGUCCUGUGUUUCGGGUCGUCAGCUGACCGUCCUGCACUGCGUGGACCUCUUCUGUAGCUCCUCAAAACGGGACCGGCAGCAGGCGGCCAGAAGGCUACGCCCCUCCUCAGACGGGCAGCACCUAUCAGCUCUGCCGUAUCGAUUUCCCUGCCCGGUCCGUGUCUGCGCCGUGGCCUCGCCGGAGGGCUACCUGGGCUUCUGCAGCUCCGCCCGCCUGGACGAGUGGCAGGAGUGGACAGCCAAUCAGGAUAACCCAAAGCCUUUAACCUUACCUGCGUUUGUAAUGAAUGGGGAGGGGGCGGAGCCUCUCGCUGGUAUGCCAGUAAGGGAAGUGCUGAGUAUUAAGAGUCUGACGGACAAAGUGAUGAAAUAUCAUUAUCUGAGGACGGUUCAUGCACACGGGUCAGAGGCUCUGCUGGACCAGGCCUGGGAGGUGUGCUGCUACCUGGCCUGCCUACUGUAUCAGCCAAUGGGGCUGCGCUAACUGCAGGUCACUAGCCAAUAGGGCUCCAAGAUACUGGAAAAAUAAUUUUUGGCUCUGCAGCGUAUAUUGCUGUUAGUGUUGUUGUCAAGACCACUAGACCUGAUUCAAGACCAAGACUUGUAGGUAUUUGAGUCCAAGUCAAGACCAAAAGUUUUGGUAGUUAAAUCUGAGUCCAAGACCAAGACUUCUAGUUGUUGAGUCCAAGUCAAGACCAAGACUUUUGGUGAUCAAGUCCAUUUCAAAAUCAAGACUUUUGGUAGUUGAAUCCAAGUGAAGACCAAGACUUUCAGUUGUUGAAUCCAAGUCAAGACCAAGACUUUUGGUUGUUGAGUCCAAGACUGUUGGGCAUUGAGUCUGAAUCAAGACCAAGACUUUUGGUAGUUAAAUCUGAGUCAAGACCAAGAUUUUCAAUUGUUGAGUCUGAGUCAAUACCAAUAUUUUGUUAGUUGAGCCAGAGUCAAGACCUGGACAUAUUGAGUCCAAAACAAGUCUUUUGGUAGUUGAGUUAGAGUCAAGAUGAGUUCAAGUCAUAGAGUCCAAGUCAAGACCAAGACUUGGACAUAUAAUAUUAUUUUUUUAUUAGUAAGAUGAAUUAUUAUAAAAACAGCAGUUUAAACUGAAAAGAAAGUGUCAUUUUACCUGCACAAAACAUUGCAUAACACAAAUUGUUUGUUGAAGUUUUAACAAUGUCUUUUUCAUAAUUAAGGCAUUUUAUGUAUUCAUUUAACUCCUGUAUUUUCCUAAAAAAAU